rnacentral:rRNA from 1 species
GGGAGGUAGUGACAAUAAAUAACAAUACAGGGUUCUUUCGGAUCUUGUAAUUGGAAUGAGUACAAUUUAAAUCUCUUAACGAGGAACAAUUGGAGGGCAAGUCUGGUGCCAGCAGCCGCGGUAAUUCCAGCUCCAAUAGCGUAUAUUAAAGUUGUUGCAGUUAAAAAGCUCGUAGUUGAAUUUCGAGAUCAAAUUGUUGGUCGUGCCUCGGUACGCACUGGCAUUAUUGAUUUCUCCCUUCUGACGAUCCGCGAUGUCAUUAAUUUGGUGUCGUGGGGAAUCAGGACUGUUACUUUGAAAAAUUAGAGUGUUUAAAGCAGGCUCACGCUUGAAUACAUUAGCAUGGAAUAAUGAAAUAGGACGUUUGAUUCUAUUUUGUUGGUUUCUAGGAUCGACGUAAUGAUUAAUAGGGAUAGUUGGG